UACGGGGGGGGCAAGCGUUGUUCGGAAUUACUGGGCGUAAAGGGCUCGUAGGUGGCCAACUAAGUCAGACGUGAAAUCCCUCGGCUUAACCGGGGAACUGCGUCUGAUACUGGAUGGCUUGAGAUUGGGAGAGGGAUGCGGAAUUCCAGGUGUAGCGGUGAAAUGCGUAGAUAUCUGGAGGAACACCGGUGGCGAAGGCGGCGUUCUGGACUGUUUCUGACACUGAAAAACGAAAGCCAGGGGAGCAAACGGG
rnacentral:rRNA from 1 species